rnacentral:rRNA from 1 species
GAUGAACGCUGGCGGCGUGCCUAAUACAUGCAAGUCGAGCGAACGGACGAGAAGCUUGCUUCUCUGAUGUUAGCGGCGGACGGGUGAGUAACACGUGGAUAACCUACCUAUAAGACUGGGAUAACUUCGGGAAACCGGAGCUAAUACCGGAUAAUAUUUUGAACCGCAUGGUUCAAAAGUGAAAGACGGUCUUGCUGUCACUUAUAGAUGGAUCCGCGCUGCAUUAGCUAGUUGGUAAGGUAACGGCUUACCAAGGCAACGAUGCAUAGCCGACCUGAGAGGGUGAUCGGCCACACUGGAACUGAGACACGGUCCAGACUCCUACGGGAGGCAGCAGUAGGAAAUCUUCCGCAAUGGGCGAAAGCCUGACGGAGCAACGCCGCGUGAGUGAUGAAGGUCUUCGGACCGUAAAACUCUGUUAUUAGGGAAGAACAUAUGUGUAAGUAACUGUGCACAUCUUGACGGUACCUAAUCAGAAAGCCACGGCUAACUACGUG